UACGUAGGGUGCGAGCGUUGUCCGGAAUUAUUGGGCGUAAAGGGCUCGUAGGCGGUUUGUCGCGUCGGGAGUGAAAACACCGGGCUUAACUCGGUGCUGGCUUCCGAUACGGGCAGACUAGAGGUAUUCAGGGGAGAACGGAAUUCCUGGUGUAGCGGUGAAAUGCGCAGAUAUCAGGAGGAACACCGGUGGCGAAGGCGGUUCUCUGGGAAUUACCUGACGCUGAGGAGCGAAAGUGUGGGGAGCGAACAGG
rnacentral:rRNA from 2 species